rnacentral:rRNA from 1 species
AGUCGAACGAUGRRGCUCUUCGGAGUGGAUUAGUGGCGAACGGGUGAGUAACACGUGAGUAACCUGCCCCCUUGUUCGGGAUAAGCCUGGGAAACUGGGUCUAAUACCGGAUAUUCCUUUUUUGACGCAUGUUGGGAGAGGGAAAGAUUUAUUGCUAGGGGAUGGACUCGCGGCCUAUCAGGUAGAUGGUGGGGUAAUGGCCUACCAUGCCGUUGACGGGUAGCCGGCCUGAGAGGGCGACCGGCCACACUGGGACUGAGACACGGCCCAGACUCCUACGGGAGGCAGCAGUGGGGAAUAUUGCACAAUGGGGGAAACCCUGAUGCAGCGACGCCGCGUGCAGGAUGAAGGCCUUCGGGUUGUAAACUGCUUUCAGCAAGGAAGAAGCGAAAGUGACGGUACUUGCAGAAGAAGCGCCGGCUAACUACGUGCCAGCAGCCGCGGUAAUACGUAGGGCGCAAGCGUUGUCCGGAAUUAUUGGGCGUAAAGAGCUCGUAGGCGGUCUGUCGCGUCUGGCGUGAAAACACAAGGCUCAACUUUGUGCUUGCGUCGGGUACGGGCGGACUUGAAUGUUGUAGGGGAGACUGGAAUUCCUGGUGUAGCGGUGGAAUGCGCAGAUAUCAGGAGGAACACCAAUGGCGAAGGCAGGUCUCUGGGCAAUUAUUGACGCUGAGGAGCGAAAGCAUGGGGAGCGAACAGGAUUAGAUACCCUGGUAGUCCAUGCCGUAAACGUUGGGCACUAGUUGUGGGGACCAUUCCACGGUUUCCGUGACGCAGCUAACGCAUUAAGUGCCCCGCCUGGGGAGUACGGUCGCAAGACUAAAACUCAAAGGAAUUG